GACGGCGUAGCCAAGUUGGUUAAGGCGUGUGAUUAGAAUUAUACUAGUUUAGUCAUCACAUCCACUUUGUGGGCGUAGGUUCGAAUCCUGCCGCCGUCG